ensembl:snRNA
GUUUAGCAUUCCCCUUAAAAAGGAUGGAAGGGGACCUUGGGCCUGACAAUACACAUACAGUUAAGGCAUCUAACCAUCAUGUUUA